UACAGAGGGGGCAAGCGUUAUUCGGAAUUAUUGGGCGUAAAGGGCGCGUAGGCGGCCAUUCAAGUGACGGGUGAAAGCCCUCGGCUUAACCGAGGAACUGCCUGUCAGACUGGAUGGCUUGAGACCGGGAGAGGUGAGUGGAAUUCCCAGUGUAGCGGUGAAAUGCGUAGAUAUUGGGAGGAACACCAGUGGCGAAGGCGGCUCACUGGACUGGUACUGACGCUGAGGCGCGAAAGCGUGGGGAGCAAACGGG
rnacentral:rRNA from 1 species